AGCUGUCAUGGUUGCAUGUCGUUCACGUGCGCAGAUGAUCUCGGGGUCGAAUCCCAGUUGAUUGUUUGGAAGCCUAGGCUCUAUAUAAACCACACUCCUUUCUAAGAAGGUAUUCUAAAAUACCUUGCUUUUUUGUUUCAAAUAAACCACACUCCUUUCUAAAAAGGUAUUUUAAAAUAGCUUGCUUUUUUGUUUCAAAUACCUGAAAAUAAACCACACCCCUUUGUAAAAAGGUAUUCUAAAAUACCUUGCUUUUUUGUUUCAAAUAAACCACAAUCCUUUCUAAAAAGGUAUUUUAAAAUAGCUUGCUUUUUUGUUUCAAAUACCUGAAAAUAAAC
rnacentral:lncRNA from 1 species